UCGGUGCCGCAGCUAACGCAUUAAGUACUCCGCCUGGGAAGUACGCUCGCAAGAGUGAAACUCGAAGGAAUUGACGGGGACCCGCACAAGUAGCGGAGCAUGUGGUUUAAUUCGAAGCAACGCGAAGAACCUUACCUAAGCUUGACAUCCCAAUGACAUCUCCUUAAUCGGAGAGUUCCCUUCGGGGACAUUGGUGACAGGUGGUGCAUGGUUGUCGUCAGCUCGUGUCGUGAGAUGUUGGGUUAAGUCCCGCAACGAGCGCAACCCUUGUCUUUAGUUGCCAUCAUUAAGUUGGGCACUCUAGAGAGACUGCCAGGGAUAACCUGGAGGAAGGUGGGGAUGACGUCAAAUCAUCAUGCCCCUUAUGCUUAGGGCUACACACGUGCUACAAUGGGUAGUACAGAGGGUUGCCAAGCCGUAAGGUGGAGCUAAUCCCUUAAAGCUACUCUCAGUUCGGAUUGUAGGCUGAAACUCGCCUACAUGAAGCUGGAGUUACUAGUAAUCGCAGAUCAGAAUGCUGCGGUGAAUGCGUUCCCGGGUCUUGUACACACCGCCCGUCACACCACGGGAGUUGGAGACGCCCGAAGCCGAUUAUCUAACCUUUUGGAAGAAGUCGUCGAAGGUGGAAUCAAUAACUGGGGUGAAGUCGUAACAAGGUAGCCGUAUCGGAAGGUGCGGCUGGAUCACCUCCUUUCUAAGGA
rnacentral:rRNA from 1 species